CAGGGUGCCCACCCAGUAAUCAGCACAAGUUAGAAUGUGGGCAACUCGGCAGUCGUUGCGCAGGCACUUUGGUGACUCUAGUUAACCUCGGGCUGAUCGCAAGUCCCCAUGACGGCGACGAUGCAUUCGGAUGUCUGCCCUAUCAACUUUCGAUGUUACUUUCUACGCCCACUAUUGUGACCACGGGUAAUGGGGAAUCAGGGUUCAAUUCCGGAGAGGGAGCCUGAGAAACGGCUACCACAUCCAAGGAAGGCAACAGGCGCGCAAAUUACCCAUUCUCGACGCGGGGGAGGUAGUGAUG